CCGUUGUUCGAGGGAGCGGUGAGUGUUUGGGUGCACACAAACUGCAAGGACCACACGAGGCAGUUUCACUCUUUUCUAACACUGGUUCUCUUUUGUAGAGGUAAAUCCACCUCCCCUCCCUGCCAGCAUUUGAAUGCCCAAAACCAGGUGUGUUUGUUAAGUGUCCAGCCUAUGAAAAAAAAAACCAACCCACAGCCUUUUUGGUGAUGAAGCUGGCCUGCAAUUCAGACUGAUGUAAGGACAAAGCCACUGACCGGAGCACAUCACUGAACUGAAAACGAAUGAGUGUUGUCUGCUGGGUGUGGAAUGGUUGUCACUGGGACUGCAUCCAGGGAUCCUCACGGAUCUCCAGGACACCUGACACAGGCACGUGCCACUGGAACCAGCCCUCUUCAUGUCUCCAGAUGCCUCAGCUCUGGUCUGUGGAGAACGAACACAAGAGGGAAAGGAUGGAAGAGAGGAUGGAUGAAGGCAGGUACGUGGUGACCCAGCAGAGGUAGGUUAUGACAGAGCAGGU
rnacentral:lncRNA from 1 species